GCGAAGACGUGCCUGAUAAGUUGCUUUUCCUGCAUGGCUCCGGGCACCGCGCUUGCUGGAUAGACUUGUGACAGUUUGUCUGUGGGCUCUAGUGUGGGAUGUACGAGAUUUUUGCAAACUAGAUCAGAGACAAGAUCGAGUUCCGGCGGGCGAUGUGAACAACUGAUGCCAACAUCACAAAGAAAAUCCAUUUAGUCAGCAGCAGCAGAGGAAAUAUGCGUCAGUUCAUCUUCUGCUUGGUUACCUAAAACGACGGGACUGCUGCAUAUCGAUAAUUAACUUUAUUAACAAUAAAUUAGAAAACCAGGAGACGAAGGGAAAAAAGAAACAUAAAGCUGUUUGGAGAGAUAAGAAUAGAAUAGUUUCCAGUGCUAGUGGAAGCAGCAUAAAAACUGAAACGAGGAGCCGACCAUCCUUCUUGACAAAAAGGGGGGGGAAAAGAAUAAUAAAGAAACCCGCCGCCGCGUGAUCGGGCAUAUGGUUUACUCUGUGGCAUCAUAGAAGAUCAGAUUUAUCCAUAGAAGUGCAAUUAAGAGGUGAAGCAGAGGAGGGGAAAGACAUCAAAGAGCCUGGUGGUAAGAUAUCAGCUUCGGGAUCCUAUUUCAUCAAAGAACCGCCUUGUAAGCGGGUCUGGUGUGUGUUAAAUUCGUCGUGGCCAAUGUUCUCCUGCUUAUGUUGCACAGAAGUGUAGGUAGGGAGUGCCAUCUCAGAUAUCGUCUUCAUCAUCUGACCCUGGUUGAAAAUUGCGCGGUCCGUCAAUAUAACUAAACCAAUCUCCAUUGCAUUCCUUUGAACUAGCAAGAUUCUGCAUGACAGCAUCUCUUUUAUUUUUAUAUCACUUUGUUAGAAGAAGGCAGUAGUUGGAUUUAUGAAGAAAUCUCACACAUUUCAAGUCAUCAAUUACAAUUUUUCUUUCGAAAUUUUGAUGGAUUUGACUUAGAGAAAAGUGAAAACUGACGCAUUUUUGAGUCCACCAAAUUUUCGUGCUGAAAAAUUUCGCUCACGACUAGCGCUGCAAAAGGUUGCUUCCGCUUUCUUUAACUCUGCUUUUAGGCGAGACUUCCUUUGAAAAUAAAAGAAAAAGUUCGCACCACCCAAGUAUUGAAAAUCCAAUACUGAACGCCACAUCUUCCCUUUUAAAAAAUUUACGCCCAUUUUCUUCAAUUUAUUUACAAAGAGAGGAUCUUAAACAAAGCACAACAUGCGCUUCAACGUCUUUUAUUUUAGGUAAUGAGAUUUUAUACGGAAGAAGACAAUGGCUUUUUAGACUUCCCGGGUAAACAUAUUUUUUUUAUUUUUAUCUUUCAUGAAUAGUUUGGAGCCAGCCUUCAGAUAUUGCCAAUUCAAACG